UCAGGACGAACGCUGGCGGCGUGCUUAACACAUGCAAGUCGAGCGAUGAAGCUUCUUCGGAAGUGGAUUAGCGGCGGACGGGUGAGUAACACGUGGGUAACCUGCCUCAUAGAGGGGAAUAGCCUUCCGAAAGGAAGAUUAAUACCGCAUAAGAUUGUAAUAUCGCAUGAUAUAGCAAUUAAAGGAGUAAUCCGCUAUGAGAUGGACCCGCGUCGCAUUAGCUAGUUGGUGAGGUAACGGCUCACCAAGGCGACGAUGCGUAGCCGACCUGAGAGGGUGAUCGGCCACAUUGGGACUGAGACACGGCCCAGACUCCUACGGGAGGCAGCAGUGGGGAAUAUUGCACAAUGGGGGAAACCCUGAUGCAGCCAACGCCGCGUGAGUGAUGACGGUCUUCGGAUUGUAAAGCUCUGUCUUCAGGGACGAUAAUGACGGUACCUGAGGAGGAAGCCACGGCUAACUACGUGCCAGCCGCAGC
rnacentral:rRNA from 1 species